rnacentral:rRNA from 1 species
GACGAACGCUGGCGGCGUGCUUAACACAUGCAAGUCGAACGGAAAGGCCCUGCUUUUGUGGGGUGCUCGAGUGGCGAACGGGUGAGUAACACGUGAGUAACCUGCCCUUGACUUUGGGAUAACUUCAGGAAACUGGGGCUAAUACCGGACAGGAGCCCCUGCUGCAUGGUGGGGGUUGGAAAGUUUCGGCGGUUGGGGAUGGACUCGCGGCUUAUCAGCUUGUUGGUGGGGUAGUGGCUUACCAAGGCUUUGACGGGUAGCCGGACUGAGAGGGUGACCGGCCACAUUGGGACUGAGGUACGGCCAAUGCUCCUACGGGAGGCAGCAGUGGGGGAUAUUGCACGAUGGGCGGAAGCGUGAUGCAGCAACGCCGCGUGCGGGAUGACGGCCUUCGGGUUGUAAACCGCUUUCGCCUGUGACGAAGCGUGAGUGACGGUAAUGGGUAAAGAAGCACCGGCUAACUACGUG